rnacentral:rRNA from 1 species
AGCGAACGCUGGCGGCAGGCCUAACACAUGCAAGUCGAACGAACCCUUCGGGGUUAGUGGCGGACGGGUGAGUAACACGUGGGUAACCUGCCUCUAGGAAGGGGAUAACCUAUCGAAAGAUGGGCUAAUACCCUAUGUGACCACGGUACUCCGGUACCAGAGGUAAAAGAUGGGGAUUCGCAAGAACCUAUCGCCAAGAGAAGGGCCCGCGGCCUAUCAGCUAGUUGGUGAGGUAACGGCUCACCAAGGCGAAGACGGGUAGCUGGUCUGAGAGGAUGGACAGCCACAUUGGGACUGAGACACGGCCCAAACUCCUACGGGAGGCAGCAGUGGGGAAUCUUGCGCAAUGGGCGAAAGCCUGACGCAGCCAUGCCGCGUGAAUGAUGAAGGUCUUAGGAUUGUAAAAUUCUUUCACCGGGGACGAUAAUGACGGUACCCGGAGAAGAAGCCCCGGCUAACUUCGUGCCAGCCGCCGCAGUAAUAC